ACACGUGUGUGUGAAAGUAUGUUUGUUUAUUAGAAUAAAACCCUGCAGAUUUAAAUGAUAAACCCUAACAUUACAAGUUUAUAAUAUUGCAGAGUAUUAUACUUUUGUUUAGUGAAGCUGAAAAUGCUAAUUGCUGUCUUGGUUUCCUAAGUUCAUCAUUAUGAAAGCAUUAAUUAAAAGUGUUAAUUUACACACUUGUAUGUGAGAGAAGAGGAGGAGUAGUAGUAGCAGUAGUAGUAAUAGUAAUACCAGUAGCAGCAGCUUAAAAUUUAGAAUUCAGUUAAUAGGAGGGAAAUACAGAUGGAAAGUGUUACGUAUUCUAUAAAUGUUUUAAUAAAAGCCAUUUGUCUUAUAUAAUAUAUAUAAGUGAUGUUCAUUCCAAAAAUCUAACUGCAGAAGUUUUAAAAAGUUAUCAAGAUAUGUCCAUAUUUAGGCAGAGUAUGAGAAGUAACUCAUAUGUUUACGAACCUGUUAAUAUAUACUAAGGCUCCGUUGUUUACUUGAAGAUUAUAUCUUUCAAAGAGUUGUUUAGAAGAAUGUUUCAAGAUUAGCGAAACAUAGUCACAUGCAUCACACACUUACACUCACAUACACAUGCAUAGGGAGGGAGGGAGGUAGAUAGAUAGAUAGAUAGAUAGACAGACAGACAGACAGACAGAUAGAUAGUUAGGUAGAUAGGUAGAUAGACAAGUAGAUAGAUAGAUAGAUAUAGAAAAGGUUGGAUGGAUGGAUAGCUUGCUAGGUAGAUAGAUAAGCAUAUUUUAUAUUAGGUAUUAGAUGGAAAUUAUUUUGAGAUAUAACUCUACCUUUCUCAACAUGUUUAUGAUACCCCAAAGACUUGCUCACAUCUGUGCCAAUUGGCCUUAAAAAUCUUAAAAUGUUGUUAUCUAUUAUUCACCCUCAACAACAUUUAUUCUGUAUGUAGAUACUGUUCGUUUGAAAUUUCAUUGCAAAUUUGCUUUGUUAAUUAGCAUUUGGCACACAUGCAGAUAUCUGUGUGUGUGUGUGGACAAAAAGAAAGACAGAUAGGAUAGGAUGGGGCGAUGAAUAAAUAUCUCUGAAACAUAAAUAGCCGAAUGUAUAGAAAUAUGAUGAGAUGGGGAGAUACUCAUUACACAUGCACACUCACUGGAUAUCCAUAUAUAUAUAUAUAUCCAUCCAACGCAUGCCAGCAUGGAAAGCGAACGUUAAACGACAACGAUGAUGAUAAUAUAUAUGUGUUUGUGUGUUAUUUAAAUCCAUUUGAUUUGGCACAAUGUGUCUUCAAUUUUCACAGACUUCUGGCAGAAGCUCGUCGCUUUCAGGCUAUCCAAAGUCUAACAGAGACUGGCUUCUGCUAAUUGCCUACAAAACAUUAAGUCACAUAGAACUGAAUGAAAACUGUUUUAAGUAAUACAUGUAACUACACUAGAUGUGUUGAAUGCCCUUUUCUUUCAUUUGUCCUAUCAUUCAAGUGUAAUAUAUAUAUAUAUACAUACACACAUGUAUGUGUGUGUAUUUUAGUGUACAUAUAUGUGUAGGUUAAUGAGUAGAGAAAGUGUAAGGUUGUAGACUCUGUAAUCUUGUCUUGUUGAGUAUUUAUCUCUGUACUGUGGUUGUCACAAAGGAACGCUCCCUGUGCAUUCUGUAAAACAGCUGGUUGUAGGAAGGGAAUCCAGCCAAAGAAACCAAUCCCAGUGUAAGGGUGCACACAUUUUCUGGAAACAACUCACAGUGAUUGACCAUGACAACUGACUAAACCCAUGCUAGCAUGGAAAGCAAAUGUAAAAUAAUGAGGAGGAGGAGGAGGAAGAAGACAUAUCUGCCAAAACACACAUCCAUACAUAUUAACAUACACUUUCUUUUUCUGUUUAAAAAAUGAGAGAGUAUCUGUUAGAUUAUAAUUGUAUAAAUUGAUGAUUCGCUCUGCUGUUUGAAUAAUAACAUCAUUUGAGACUCUGAAUAGCAACAGAAUGGAACAUCAGUUUUAUAUAUGUGGAGACGUGUGUGUGUGUGUGUGUAUCUAUGCAUAUACAAAUGUGUAGAUAUGUAUGUCAGUAUACACGUGUAUGUGUAAACACAUGUACGUAUAGAGGUUUAUAUAUUUUUACACAUACACAUAUGUAUAAAUGUAUUAUGUUGGACACAAAUAUAACUGUUUCAAAGUACCUGAAAAUCUGCUGUCAUUUGUUCAAAACUUUAGUUAUGGCAAUUUCAGUUGAUGUGAAAACAUUUUAUUGUUCUCUGAAAUGAAGAAAAUGUGUGUGUGUGUAUUCAUAUUAACCUUAUUACAACCAAUUUAAUACUUUUGAAGACUUGGUCUUUGGAUAUGCUUGUGCCACAUGUUGGCAAUGCUGUUUAUUAACUGCUUUGCAAGCUUUCCUAGUAUUUACAGUGUAAAAGCUUUUUUU